UCUUAUCAAGAGUGGUGGAGGGACUGGCCCGUUGAAACCCAGCAACCUACUUCAUUAAUGGAAAAUGAAGAAUGGGUAAUGGAGAAUAAAUAAAAUUUAUAAUUAUCCAUUAACCAUUAUUUAAUUACCCAUUAAUUAAUGUGUGGUGCUAAUUCCAACAGCUUAAAGCUGAUAGAUAAGG
rnacentral:ncRNA from 1 species